GAUGGCGACCGGCGCACGGGUGAGCAACGCGUAUCCAACCUGCCCCUUACUCCGGCACAGCCCGUCGAAAGGCGGAUUAAUGCGGGAUGCAGUCAGAAUGAUGCAUAUUGCUUUGACAAAAGGUUUUCCGGUAAGGGAUGGGGAUGCGUCCGAUUAGCUUGACGGCGGGGUAACGGCCCACCGUGGCGACGAUCGGUAGGGGUUCUGAGAGGAAGGUCCCCCACAUUGGAACUGAGACACGGUCCAAACUCCUACGGGAGGCAGCAGUGAGGAAUAUUGGUCAAUGGGCGAGAGCCUGAACCAGCCAAGUAGCGUGCAGGAAGACGGCCCUAUGGGUUGUAAACUGCUUUUGUAUGGGAAUAAAGUUGCGUACGUGUACGCAUUUGCAUGUACCAUACGAAUAAGGACCGGCUAAUUCCGUGCCAGCAGCCGCGGUAAUACGGAAGGUCCGGGCGUUAUCCGGAUUUAUUGGGUUUAAAGGGAGCGUAGGCCGUCUCAAAAGCGUGUUGUGAAAUGUCCCGGCUCAACCGGGGCCGUGCAGCGCGAACUGUGAGACUUGAGUGUGCGGAAGGUAUGCGGAAUUCGUGGWGUAGCGGUGAAAUGCUUAGAUAUCACGAAGAACUCCGAUU
rnacentral:rRNA from 1 species